UUGGCGUGAGUCCAUUCCCUCCCACAUCCCCUGGGCACUACCUUUCUCCAAUGACUGGAACGUGAAGACUUCUUUGUACUAGAGUUGAACUCUUAUUUAGCUUUACAAUCUUGAUUUCAGAUUUGCUCAUUGUUUGAAUUACCCAACCAAGCUCCAGAUAAGCUUUCCACAAAUAUAAAGUAGAUAGAAAAAACUUCGGCCACUGGCCAGUGAGGAUUAUAAUUAAGUGAUGAGAGUAAUUCCGGAUCAUGAUGAGGUAAUCUCACUCGAUACCUGCUCUUGGAAGGUUCAGAAAGGAAUAAAAUUGUUGGCUUCUCCUGUUCUCUUUUGUUCUUUAAAUUGAAGUCAAACCACGUAGUGACUCGUGUUCAAAAACUGGAUUACUAUAUUGUUGAUGCUGGUCAAUCUCAAAAAAUGAAAUAUAUUCCCUACUGGCAAUGAAUAAGAGCAGUUAUUUAAGUGUGUGCUCAACCGCUAGCUUGCUACUUUAAUAAGUUUGCAGGAAGUGCCUCGACCCGAAGUUCAUGAGGGUUUCAAUAAUUGUUUGCACAUGAGCACUUGUUUGCAAUCUAGCUAUGCUAAGCUUUCAGGUAUUUUACAAGCACGUGGGCAAGUUGAAUCAGGAGCCUGGAUCAUUUGGCCGCGAUCUGAGACUCUUUUUCUCGAGGGAGAGACAGAAAGGGAGAAGCCUGAGAUGAAUCAUAUAUAGCUUUUGUUUCUCUUUAUAGCCACUUUCUCCCUAAUAAUUCUAUAAGGAAGAGAGAAUGGUUUUUUCACACCUGCUAUUUCUCUUGUAGCUUCAACCUGUAGCAGGUUUCGAUGGGUGGUAUGAAAACAGGACAAAAAAUUUCAUUUGUUUUCUCAGUGUGGACAUGUAUAUUCAGUGAAAUGAAAUGCAGUUCUUUGCAAAUUGCAAUAGUAUCUUCAUAUCUGAAUCUAUGAUUGGGUGUCACUUUUGGUUGCCUGUGCUAAAGCGUAAUUAAAUAAAGACACUGUAAUGGUUCACUGCAGAAUCUUCCGGUUGCCUGAUACCCAAUUGGCAAUCUGAACCAAUCAUUGUUGCCAUGUUGUUUUUAUUUUCCGAGGAAUUUUUUUCCUGCGAUUUCUGUUUACAAGACAAGAUUUGAGUGCAGAAGCUACACAGGUUUGCUCUAUUCACAGGCAUGACCUGGAGUCUGGACAUACUACACAUAUUGCUUGUCUUGUGACUUUGUGAGUAGAACACAGGGUAUAUAUGUGUCUGCUUGUUUUGUCCAGGUAUGAUCCGGCGAGAUUUGGGUUUGUGUUUGGGCCCUUGCAGAAGAAGGAGCAUGCUAGGAGUGGUUCAUCAGGGAGACUUUGCGUCCAUUAAUAAACAGUACUGUAACAGGGAACAUCUAGAACGAGCAAACUCUAUUAACCACGAUGUAGAUUGGAGCCAAGUCUCCCAUUUUCAGUUUCGUGAUGUACGUCUGCUUCAAAUCUGUCUACGCGCCCGUGCUGCCGACGCCUACGGCACUGAUCUCCGCCAUCUGUCUUGUUUCCUUUUGCUCUUGGGAUUGCAGUCAAACAACUUAGUGACUUGGUGUUGAAAAACUUUGAAAGCUAUACUGUUGGUGCCGAUCACCCUCAUAUAAUGAAUCCGUUCUCAGAACUCUCCGGUUCCCUCAUGGCAAUGAAUAAAGUUGUUAUAUAGGUAUGUGCUCAAUUGUUAGGCUGCUACUUUGAUAAGUUUGUGGGAAGUUUCUCGACCUGAAGUUUAUGUGGAUUUCAAUAAUUGUUUGCAAUCUCUCUAUGCUAAGCUUUCAGGAAUUUCAGAAGUGCACACGGGCAAUUUGAAUCAGGAGCUCUGGUCAUGUGAAGAAAUUUGGUCCGCCAGGCCAUGUGCUGCGGUUUUAGAUACUGUUUUCCUUGAGGGGUGGGAGUCAGCAAGGGAGAAACCCGAGAUAAAUUUUUCUUGUUUCUUCUCUUUGUAGCAAGUGUUAGUUAUAUUCAGCAAGAAUGUAUAGUGAAGAGAGAAUGUUUCCCCCCCUUUAGCUUCUGUGCUACUUGAUGUGAGAACACGUUUGAAGCAGUUUCACUAAGCAACAACAGUUAUGUCCGGUGGUUGGUUGUUUCGCGGAAGCAUAAACAAAGUCCAUAUAUAUAGAUAAAUGGUUCGCUGAUAUUGUUUUCACCUUGGUGGUCUCCUUUUUAUAUGAAACUGGAUAUGCUUUCACGUUUGGUUUGCUCGAAAAUAGGCUAUUCUGGAAGAAAAAUCCUCUUUUUUUUUAUGGGCAUUCAGAUGAACACAACAAGAGCUGUGUGCGGUGCGCUCACAACCUGAAGAGGUGUGUUGUUCGGCAGUUAACUUGCUGCUGGGCAAAGUUAGUUGGGUUGAAUGCAGUAACUUGUUGCUGCUGGGCAAGUAGUAGCUGUAGUGUUUUAGUUGCAACGAUAUCCCGAAAGAGAUUUGCAGAUAAGAGCAAGUGGAGUGCUCAAUACGGAGUACUUACUGAUCUCCAUCACCACCCGAGUCAUUUCACAUCUUGUGGCCUCUGGGAAAUGCAGUUGCUGAAGUUUUUUAUUUAUUUUUUGUUUUUUUACGGGGAGCUGCUGCAGAAGUUGCAGACUCUGGCCGGUGAGUCUCAAGAGAUCGUUUUUUUUUUGAACGUGGGCUCGUUUCUUUUGAACGUGGGCUCGUGUGUCUACUCGGAAUGUGCACUGGGCUUUGUGAAAGCCUACGGGUCAAGGCCCACGCACUCUACCAAUUUCUCUUUCUUUGUAACCCAUCGGCGGCAAGGCCCACACGAGUGUCACAAGGAGAAGGAGGGGAACGAAACAAGCCGGCCGCCCAUGGCUUCGCCGCCGCCGCCUCCGCGGCCGUUCCCGACUCCUCCUCCGACGCCAAUCCGUAAGCGCAUCUCCGUCCAAGCUCCUUCUCUGCCCCGCCGGUCUCGUAGGCGUUUCGUUUAUUGACUGGAUCCGUUGGCGUGAAGCUGAGGAGGGUGUUCUACAUGAGACCCUCUCAAUUUCAGUUCAGUCUUCUUGUACCAUACGUAUGUGGGAAGGAUGAUUAUGUUUUGUCAGGACUAGGGUAGGGCUUCGAUACAAGUUUCAGAGGUUCAGACUCUGUUAGCCUAAAUACGUUUCAUUCAGAAAUGGCAACACAACAUGGUGUUUUUAGCAUUCACUGGCCAUUCUACAUGCGGGUUGUAUUCCUUCAAUUCUCAUCACAAGCAACAACGCAAGCAUCUCUCAACAGACUCUGGCCGCUUCAUGCCACCCUACAUAUCUCACUCACACUCUGUGUAUUAGUACUUUUUACCUGCAAAGCUUAUGCUCCAAAGGCAAGUAGUUCCUCGGGAGGCUAAAAAGUUUGUGUGUUAUGUGUGCUCUGCAGAACAAUAAGAGGAGAAAGCAAAAGCACCAAAGGGAUAGGCAAACUGGUUUUGCAUUCAGCUAGCUGCUGCUCCAGUUGGAGAAAAUGACUAGUACAGUGCUGGGUUCACUUGCAUUUCACUUCAGCAAAGCUUCUUUGAAGUGUCAACGGACAUGCUUCUUUGAGGGGAAAUACCCAAUGGUUCCUGGGUACAUAUGUACCCUAUAUGGGGAUUUAUUUUUAAUAGUUAAACAAAAAUUUAAAAUAGUUAAGAAACUAUUUUUAGAAUAAAGUUGACUUACUUACGCACUAGUAUACACAAUUUUCACAAAAAAGAAAAAUAUGUUGACUUCACAGCGAAAAAGACAAAAUUUAUUUGCUAUUAUAGUUCACUAUUCACGCUAUUUUGACCGGAAAUUUGUCUUUUUUGAAAAGAAGUCAAAAGGAUUUUUUUUUGGUGGAUUUUAUUUUUCACGAGUACAAUAGAAGGUCAAGUUUAUUUCCAAAAUAUUUUCAGGAAUUUUUGACAUUUUGUUGAAUUACUAAUUUUUUUUCCCAUAUAGGGUGCAUAUGUCCCCAUAGACCAAAAGUUCCCCUCCUUCUUUGAGGUGCUAAGGACAGAUGUCAGCUUGACUGCCCACCUUUGUCUCUAAAAUCUCAGAAUUGAUUCGAUUUGUCACCCCGAAAAUCAUCCAUCCCUAACCAAUUAUUGUCAUGGAUAUGGAUGAAAUAAGUGAGAGUUGGCUGAUUUGGUUGAGGUCUGCAUAUUGCAUUGGUGCCCAUCCAAUUAUUACUCGCACACUCACCGUUCACUAGAAAUAACCACUCUGUUGAUCAGGUACUGUGACAAGGUUCAUGCACUUGUGCCAUCAGGAUCAGGGUUCAGGACAGCUGGAAAGAGUCGAGGGUGGGGAUGAGCAACAGUUUGCAUCUCAUCACACCACGCGCACAAGCACUGAUUAUGCUUUAACUGGUAGCACCACCUUGGGCAUCAUCUCAGUACUAGUAGUAUUUUCGUUGGAUACUUGCUUAGAAACCACGAGGGGGCAGGAAAUCUACACCAGGAUAAAAGCAGAGAGACUGAGAUGCAUAGAUUCAAAUAGCCCGCGAAAUAGCCGCAAUAGCUGCGCUAUAGCUGCCCGGGAGCCUCGCCGCUAAGCUAUGGCUGUGGCCGCGAAAACCUCAACAUAUCCCUCUAAAUGGCAGAAAAAUCAGCAAAAACCUCUAGAAAUCAUCUCUCCCACCAGAAAAUUUUCUGCUAUUUGCCGCUAUUGCCCGCUAUGGCGGCCGCUAUAGCUGCUGGGAGAGGCCGCCGCGAAAUCGUUUCUCCCGCGAUUUUAAUCUAUGCUGAGAUGUGAUAUUAAGGUCAGAGCACCGCUGGAAAUUGGCCAAUUAUGCAUGGAACACAUGCUGCACUUAUGUCACUUUAUCUUUUAAUCAUUCCUACAUGAUAAGUUUGCUACUGCACAGGGAAGUUCCUCUGGACACUGUAAGUGUUUGUGUCAUUUGUGCUCUGCAGUCUGCAGAACAAAAGGAAAAACACACCAAUGGAAUAAGCAAACUGAGUUUGCAUUGAACUUCCGCCCCAUCUGAGAAAAAUGACUAGUGGAGUGCUGAGUUUGCUUCAAUUUAACUACAGUAAAAGAGCACGCGUCGGGAAACUGGUUCACUUCACAGCUGGGUUGUUGAGCUGAAGGAUUGGUCAUGAGCGCAGAGCGCCUCUGCUCUACCUUUCUUGCUCUUUCUUUCUUUCCAUCUGUUGCGUUCUAGGAAGCAAUUUUGAGAUGCGUACUCACAGCGCAUUCUAAUCACACUUCAUCCCCAUAUAUAUGUACCCUUCUUCUCCUUGUGUCGUCUGUUCAAGUUCAAAAGGAUAUAUACUUCUUGCAAGGGAACGAGAUUAUUUCCAUUUACCUUCUGAUGCCCCUGUUUAGGCACUGUCUGCAACAGCAGUCUUGCCUGUCAUGUAUCAUGCGCGUGGAACUAUCGUACCAUGAGGUGAAAAGAUUUGGUAAGCUGUGUAUCAAGCUCGAUGGGGACAGCAAGUUAUCUUUACUGUUGGGAUGUGUCCCUUCCCUUGUUUGCUCCCAAAAGUGCUCCAUGGAUGCGAGUCCUUGUCCUCGAAACUGAUAACCACAACAAAUGUGAUACACACCCUAUCAAAAGUAGAGAAAAAAGAAAGAAAAAGGGAGAUCCAUGUGACAUUAAGAUCAUCAGCGGUGAUACACGCCCUAUCAAAAGUAGAGAAAAAGAAAGCAAAUGGAGAUCUGAUGUGACAUUAAGAUUAUCAGCAUCGCUGGAAAGGGCCAGACAGGGAACAAAUGCCGCACUCUCCGGUGUGCUGCACGUAAAGGUGAUGGGUCUUAGCACUAACUCACAUCUUGAUCACGCACUCAGAGAGAAAGAUGAUGCUUUAUUAGGUAACCUUCAGCAUCAGCUCACUGUUUCCAUAUUCCUUGUGAUGAUUACGCCCUUGCCUAUUACUCCCUCCGUAAACUAAUAUAAGAGCGUUUAAAUCACUAUUUUAGUGAUCUAAACACUCUUAUAUUAAUUUACAGAGGGAGUAGUUCCUUUCCUCUUUGUUUGCCAACUAAACGAGAAUAUGUAUGCCUUGCUUCACCUCAGGAAAAUAGAGCACGCUCGUGACAUUUUCUGCCUUGCGUAUUUGCCCCAACAUAGCAUCUGCUCAUUUUUAACUUUUGCAUAAGAAAAUGUAUCAGCUACUUUUGCAUAAGAAAAUGUAUCAGCUCACUGUUGCCAAUGAUGGAUUAGCCCACUCCCGUUGAUGGAGAGCAUUUUCAAGCACUGCAUGGCCGCUUUGAAUCUUUCAAAUAAAUCACUGAUUGAGGGGCAUUUUUAAGCAACCUAAUGACAAAUUCCACAAAAUUCUCGUGCAUUUGCAGCUAUGGAAAGAUUCAAACUUGCUCCUGUGCAGGCUUAGAUCGCAACUUGCAGAGAGCAGUGCCAGAACUCCGCAAGGAACGCCAAAUUUGUUGUCACGGCUAUAGGGCCUUUAUUUUUAUCAUGGACGCGUAUGUUGUUAAACGGAUUUUGUUCCCUUUGUGCUUUAUCUCUGCUAUGUACCGUAGUAUAGGCUGGUGUUCCCAACAUAAUUUCAAGAAAGGGUUCCAGAGCUACCCAGAGUCCCAGACCAGGUUGUAAUGAUGCCCUUAACAAGAUCUGAAGGCAAGUACUCCCUCCGUCCGGAAAAGCUUGUCCCAAGCUUGUCUCUCAAAUGGAUGUAUCUAGCAUUAACUUGGUGCUAGAUACAUUCAUUUAAGGGACAAGUUUUUUUGGACGGAGGGAGUAUUAAUUUGCUUGCUCUCCCAGCUUCACUAGCUGCGAUUAUUUUAGUUCAUCCGACUGGGACGUCCUUCUGAUUGGCUAGCCUUACUUUGUAGCUGCUUGCAUCUAUAAAUACCACCCCUUAAGUAUCUGUAGUUCUCCACGCAUCUGCCAUCCACGCCUCUCUCUCGGGACAUCAACCUUCUCCGGCAUUUCUCCGCUGCGUCUAGAGUUCUCGACUAUCUUUCUUAGCUAGGUCUCCUCUGGUAGCAACACUUUGCAGUGCAGCCUGCUCUGACCCCGGCUCUCCUGGUAAGUUUACAUGAGAUUAUUAUCACUGAACACUGGAACCUCAUACAUUUACCAACCAUUAUUAGUUUACACUCUUGUUCUUAUUUAAUACGUAUAUGAUAUAUGCCUUUUGGAUUCCAGUUCAAAAAAGGUUAUUUGUUCACAGUAUUGAUAUAUAGUUGCCCUUGCUAACAACUCUGGUGCAUGCAGAACUAUCGAUAUCGAUAAUUCCAUCUUCUCUAUGGAGACGGUUGGCAUAUCUGCAGCGAGCUGGGUGGUUGGCAAAGCACUGAGCCCACUGUCUGGUGGUGUGCUGGAGUUGUGGGCAGCCAGCACCAAGCUCGGGUAUAACAUCGAGAAUCUAAAGCUGGAGCUGUUGCAGGCUCAGGCAAUGUUGAACACUGCCGAGGGCAGGGAGAUCCACAACCCCGCCCUGGCUGAGCUGCUAAACAAGCUGCGGCAGCUGGCCUAUGGGGCCGACGAUGUGCUGGACGCGAUCGACUACUUCCGCAUCCAGGAUGAGCUCGAUGGCACGUACCAUGCUGCAGACACGCAUGCUGCUGGCUGUGUCCAGGACCUCGCCCUCCAUGCUCGCCACAUGACCAAAGCUUGUGGGAACAAACUCAAGUUUCCUGUGUGCACGCGUGCUACCAGGCGUCCCGAUCCUGAUGAGCAAGACGGCGAUGGCAAACAAGGAUGCCUCUCAGGUCUCCGCUUUUGUGGUGGUCGGCGUGAGGUUAACUCCUCACUACCGACACCCACCAAACAGCUGGGUGUCGAUGAGGUUCAUGGCAGAUGCAUGCCUAAGGCUGCCCACAAUGUCGGUAAACACUUUUCUUGCUUCUCCUCCUUACCCUCUAUCGACCAUGAUGCUCAGACCGAAGUGGUGGAAAAUCACCCCUUAGAAAUACCAAAACUGAAGUUUGACAGGGUGGAAAUGUCUAGAAAGAUAUUGAACAUCAUAGAGCAGUUGAAGCCUGUAUGUGCUAAGGUCUCAACCAUUCUUAAUCUAGAGUUACUGAACUCUAGCCGUGCCUCUACCCAAGACAUUGCCACGAACAGACCCAAAACUACCCCACAAAUUAUAGAACCUAAGUUAUAUGGAAGGGAUAGCCACAAAAAGAUUGUCCUCGAUGAAAUUGCUAAUAGUCAAUGUUGUGAACUCACUGUGCUUCCAAUUGUCGGCCCAGGAGGUAUUGGAAAGACAACUUUCACACAACACGUAUAUGAACAAGCGAAGAGUCAUUUCCAAGUCCCCAUCUGGAUUUGUAUCUCUUUUGAUUUUAAUGCGAAUAGGUUGGCAAAAGAUAUCGUGAAAAAUAUCCCCAAAUUUGACAAUGAAAAGAGUGAUUGUAGUGAUGAAGAGCUUAUCGUGCAAAGGAUAAAAGGAAAAAGGGUUUUACUUGUGUUAGAUGAUGUGUGGACACAUCAUGAGGAUGAGUGGAAAAAAUUGUUAUCCUUAUUCAAAACCGAGGGUGCAAAAGGUAGCAUGGUUAUAGUCACGACUCGAAUACCCGAGGUAGCAAACACGGUUAAGACAACUAAAUGCUCACUGGGAUUGGAGCAUCUAUGUCCUAAAGAUAUUAUGUCUUUCUUUGAAGAUUGUGUAUUUGGUGACCAAGAACCAUGGAUUCACCAUCCAGAACUAUCUGAAGUUGGGAGCAAAAUAGUGGACAAGCUGAAGGGUUCCCCUCUUGCAGCAAAAACUGUUGGUAGAUUAUUAAGAAACAAACUUACAUUAAACCUUUGGACAAGCGUUCUGGAAAGUAAAGAAUGGGAAUCACAAAACAAUGACAAUGAUAUUAUGCCAGCUUUAAAACUCAGCUAUGAUCAUCUUCCAUUCCAUCUACAACAAUGUUUUUCUUUUUGUUCUUUAUUUCCUGAAGAUUAUGAAUUUGGUAGCGAAGAGUUGGUUCACUUGUGGAUUGGACUGAAUAUUUUGAAGAUGUUGGAAUGUGCUAUUUAAAUUACUUGGUAACCCAUGGAUUUUUCAAAAUGAAUAAAAGGGAAGAACGUUCUUAUUAUGUUAUCCAUGACUUAUUGCAUGAGUUGGCAGUGAAGGUUUCAUCGCAUGAAUGUCUUAGCAUCUAUAGUUCUAACGUAAGGUAUAUACAAAUUCCCCCAUCUGUGCGUCACUUGUCUAUAAUCACGGAUAACAAAGAUGUAAAUGACAGAAUGUCUUUUGAAGAAUACGACAGAAAUUUAAGUGCACUAGCUAAACGAUUGAAAGUUGAACACCUGCGUACUUUAAUGUUAUUUGGUGAAUACCAUGGAAGCCUUGUCAAAACUAUUGGUGGUUUAUUUAGAGAAGCUACAGCCCUUCGCGUCAUAUUUUUGUCUGAAGCAUCAUAUAAUUUGGAGGACCUAUUGCACAACUUUUCAAAACUUGUCCAUCUUCGUUACCUAAGGAUUAAGCCAGUGUAUUACUUGGACGUGUGCUUACCAAGCGCGUUGUUUAGAUUGUAUCAUUUAGAGGUCAUUGAUGUGCAAAGUGUGCAACACUACGUUAGUUCAACUAGACAUAUGAGCAACCUUAUAAAACUGCAUCAUUUUCUGGUGCCAGAAAAAAAAACUUCAGUUUCAGUCUGACAUUUAUGGGGUGGGAAAACUAAAAUUCCUCCAGGAAUUAAGAGAAUUUAGAGUGGGAAAGGAGAGUGAUUGUUUUGAACUAAGUCAGCUCGGAACAUUGACGGAGAUUGGAGGAUCACUUGGCAUAUAUAAUCUUGAAAAUGUGCAGACAAAAGAGGAAGCAAGUGAGUCAAAACUCGCACAGAAGAACCACAUAAGAGAACUCAUACUAGAAUGGGAUGUGAUGCGACCUAAUGUGGAUCCUGUAAAAGAAGAAAAUGUUCUUGGAAGCCUUGUACCACAUGGCAAUCUUCAAGAGCUAUGCAUUAGAGGGCACGGGGGCACUAAUUCCCCAUCAUGGCUAUAUGAGAAUCUCUCAGUUAAAUGUUUGGAAUCUCUUUGUCUGGAUGGUGUAUCUUGGAAAACUCUUCCACCUCUGGGAGAGAUGUGGAUGGUUAAUGAGCUUGAUGAAGAGUAUCAGGGUUGUAGCCUCUCACCUCUAAGCUUCCAUAACUUGAGAAGGCUACAAUUAAGUAACAUAUCUAGGUUGAAAAAAUGGGUUGGAAAUGGCGCUUGUCCUUUCUUUUCUUACUUGGAAGUGCUCAUAAUUAGAGGAUGUUCUGAACUUUUGGAGUUUCCAUUUUCACAUUCUACUUGCUAUGAAGCACGAAUGGAGGAGAAAAUGGGUUGGUUUCCUAGGCUACGGGAGAUGGUCAUUGUCGACUGCCCGAAACUAGCAUCAGUGCCUUCUAUCCCUUGGCGGACUAGUACUCCGUGUUGUGCUGAGAUAGUAAGAGCAGGAUCAGGUUUUGAAAAGCUGGUUUACCACAAAAGGUACGAAUCAAAACUAAGCUUGGAAAUUGAGGGAAAGGGUGGUCAAUAUGAUGGGUUGUGGAGUGGGUUGAAUUUCUCUAAUCUAACUGAUCUAGAGGAGUUGUACGUGAACAGAGUCCCUCCCCUGCCGCUGGAUAACCUCCGAGUGCUAGCAUCUCUAAAGAAGAUCGUGAUAGAGGGUGCCAGCAGUUUCUUGUUAUCGGUUGGAGAUGCUACUGCUAGGCAUGGCGUAUACCGGUUUCCAGUUGAAGAACUCAGGAUCAGUAACUGUGAUACGAAAGGAAAAGAAUUGACAUUGCUGCUCUCUUUUCUUCCGAACCUAUCAAAGUUGGAUAUGAAUAGGUGUGAGAAUAUAACUGGGUUGGGUGUGGUAGAGCAUGCAGAAACUGUUUCUGGAGAGCAGCAGCAACAGACAAGAGACGAUGAGGAAAUAAUAACAGCGUCAGCAGCAGGAGUACUUCUAUUGCCUCCCCAGCUACAGGAAUUGCGGAUUUCAGAUUGCCCAAAGGUGAGCUUAUUAUUCUCCAAUCCACUGCACGACAACGACCAGCACGCCACAACAGAAGCAGGGCUCCAACGUCUCCGCUCCCUUAGCCACUUGGAUGUGAGUGGCUGCCCCGAGCUCCUCUCCUCCUAUUCAUCCUUAUCCUCCUCUGUUUUCCCUUUUCCAACCUGCUUGCAAGUCCUCUGCCUACGGAGCGUGAAGCACAUGGAGACGCUGCAAGCCCUCUCAAACCUCACCUCUCUCACCGAAUUAUACUUGUAUGCAUGGGAGCAGGGUUUAAGAGAUGAGGGCUUAUGGACUCUCCUCGCCCACGGCCGCCUCACACGAUUAACCCUCUAUACUCGCUCCAACUUCUUCGCCGGAUCCAAUCCCUCAUGGCCACAUGACAAAGAGGGGUAUUCCCGUUCCUCCAAGCCCUUGGUUCUGAAUACGAAAUACAACACAGGAGUCCUUGCUGCGCCCAUCUGUAGCCUCCUCUCUUCCACCCUCACAGUACUAUUCCUCUUAUUCGGCCACGAGGUGGAAUGCUUGACAAAGGAGCAAGAGGAGGCCCUUCAGCUCCUCACCUGCCUCUAGGACCUCCGACUUUUUGGGGGAUACAAGCUGCAGCACCUCCCUGCAGGGCUACACAAGCUUAUCAACCUCAGGGAAUUAAGGGUCAUAUGGUGUUCGGCCAUCCUGUCGUUGCCCAGCCUUCCGAGCUCUCUGCGGGAAUUAAAGAUCGAGUGUUGCGGUGCCAUCAAGUCUCUGUCGAACGGCCUCCCGAGUUCUUUGGAAAUAUUGAAUAUCUGCCGCUGUGAUGCCAUCAAGUCGCUGCCCAAGGACAGCCUUCCAAGUUCAAUGCGAGAGUUAGAUGUCCAUCUUGGCAACAGCAAGGAGCUAAAAAGGGACUGCCGCAAGUUUAUAGGAACCAUCCCAAUUGUGAGAACUUGACCAAUCCAAGGUGCGUAACAAACAAUCAGUUCCCUAGCUUUUUCCUAAAUUCGUACAUCGAAGCCAUUUUCUUUUGUUCCAUUUGGUUCACCGCAGUUGCUGCUAUUCUAUCUUAUAAUUUUUUUAAUAUAUAUAUACUUUCCAGGGUUCUUCUUCAACCUGCAUAUUCUGUUAGCCUCCUACAGUUCUCUCUGUAUAAUUACGAGCAAGGCUCCCACUUGCCAGUGCAAGCAUGAUGAUCUCAGUUUGUUUCUCCCAUCCUGCAUGCAAAGCUGGUCAGUACAUGCAUAAUUAAUCAUCAUGUACAGUUGUAUUUCCAGUCCACUAUUUAUUAAACGGAAGUACAUGGCUUGCUUCUCUGCGUUUUGUUGUUUCGAUUUUGUGGGACACUUUUCUCUUCAUGUAUUGUUAUGGAACUGCUGAAUUGUAGAUCCCAACUUGGAAAAAUACUCCUUGUUUUGUAUACCUCCACUGUUUAUGUUGUUAUUGCAAAACUCUGAACUGUGUGUGUGUGUUUCGAUAUACUUUGCAGUGAGCAGGUUGGGCCAUGGAGUUGUCAAUUCUUCCAUCUUUGUAAAAUUCUCUGCGUUGAUACAAGGUUCCUUCAUCAUCAAAGCCUUGAGUGGCAUCUCCUUAUGAGCAUGAAUUGAUAAUUAAUUAAUUAUGGUAAGUGUAUGUAAUAUCACAGUUUACUCUUCAUAAAAGUCUUGCUUCUCCGUAAUAUCGCGCAUCAAGUCAAUUUUGUUCUCUUUUGGUUACAUCAUUACUGUAUAUCUGAUGUCUGAGCAAAAUGAUUAUUCUAUUUACUAUGCAGGGAUCCAUCUAGGAGUUUUAGCCUUGUAAAAUUAUCUCCAUGCACACACAGGUGGCACUUCAGGGUCUUGUGUGGUAUUUCGUCCUAUAUGAAAAGUCCAUAAAUCUGGUUAGUGUGCACAAAUCCAAUCUGUUCUAUCGUAUAGCUAAUACCAUUUCAAAGUUUCUUUAUCUCCCUCCCUGGAGGAAAUUUUAUUUUAUUUUUGUGCAGGAGUCUUUAUGCUAAUUCUGGUUGGAUUAUAGAUACUUUCCGUUUACAUUUUGGUCAUCUCUCAUGAUGACUUGAUGGUGUGCUCGGCUUAUUCGGCUGUGAGGGUUAACAUAUCACCAUCACCAUGGCAUAAUGGUGGAAGAAAUGAGAUCCGGUGACUUUCUACUGAAAUUAAGCUCUGCAUUUUUUUUAAUUCGGUUGUACACCGAUGCAGAUAGAAGGUGUUCUUGCGUUCGUCGUAAUUUGUGUUGCUUAACGGAAUUUAAUGAAUACAGGAACUUUACAAUAAUACCCCUUGUCGUAUGAUAUCAGUGCUUGUGUGCAGCCAAUCAGAUCUCUGGUCGUUAUUAAUUGGUAUGGCCAAUGUUCUCCUUUUGCAUCUCUAUAGAAGUGUAAAAGAUAACUUGUGUAUCAUUUUUUAAGUUUUAAGAUGUUAGACUGAAAUAUGGUUAUUGGGUUCUUGAUAGAUGUGGCAUGCGGCACAACUUUGGAAAUCAACAAUGGAGUAGGCACAUGUUUGUGAAGUUGUAACACUUUUGUACCCACAGAAGGUCAGCAACCCCUUGCUGAAAUUCAUGAUCAAUUUAGCUAUGCUAGAUUGUAUUGCAAUGUGCAAUUGUCAAACACUUACUGCCUCAUGAGACCUAGGCUAGAGGAAUUGAUACUUUCUGGAUAAGUUGGUACUCUAGCUUUUGAGCACGCUCAUAAUCUCUGAAUUCAUUGCCAUUCUGAAUUAAAUAACACAAGAGAGUUUUCAGCUGAUACAUAUAGUCGUAAAGGUAGAGAACACUUGUUACUAGGUGAUUGAUGAACAUUGAUUGAACAAAAAGACUCGAGCUUGCUAAUUUUUAUUCAUAGAACCUCCUGAGUUAAGUAUGGUGAAGGUGAUUUUAUUCUCUUCUUGAUCUGUAGUAUUUUUUCUAUCCCACCAAUGCCAAAAGCAGAGCAGAUUUCAUGAGCCUUGAUUAUUGCAAUCUGAAUAUUUAGUGUGUAUUGUUAAGUUCGAUGUUCCUCUAGUCUGAAGUCUUUGAAAGCCAGUCAUUCCUUUGCCGUAACUUUAUGUUUGCUUGCCUCUUCAACACUCGGCAUUGCAUUCCUUCAUCAGGAUAUCACAAAAUCUCAGAAAUUAAACCAUUUCUGUCAUUUGUUCACACCAUACCUACCUAUAUAGCGCAUCACUCACUAUUCCAUAGUAGUUGAUUAUUCCAUAAGCACAGUCAUCAAAGUUUGAGAAGACUCAAAAGCGUUUUAUUAUCAACGCUGCAAAAUUCAUUAUUAUGAAGAUUCAAGAGCUAUAUUCAUCAGCAGUGGCCUCUCUCUCACAUACUGAAAAAACAAGAAGAGAGGAGCACCAUUUCAAAAGAUUAAAGGGUUCAUUUUCAAGCAGGACGGAAUAGCCAGCAGUGCUUCCAUUUUCAUGUGCUACAUAUGCAAUAUCGAUAACAGGAACAUCACUCGCAUCCUGGGAUCACCUUACAUUGCAUUGGCCUCUCAAAUAAUUUCCUUGGUGUGAGUCCGUUUCCUCCCACAUGCCUUGGACCCUACAAUUUUUUCCAAUGACUGGAAUGUGAAGACUUCUUUUUAUGCUGAGUUGAACUCUUAUUUAGCUUUACAAUCUAGAUUUCAGAUUUGCUCAUUCUUUGAAUUACCCAACCAAGCUCCAGAUAAGCUUUCCACAAAUAUAAAGUAGAUAGAACACUUCGGCCACUGGCCAGUGAGGACUAUAAUUAUGUGAUGAGAGUAAUUC
rnacentral:lncRNA from 1 species